AAGUACCUACAUCCCUGUAGGCAAUCCCUCGCAGGGUUCGAGCCGAGCGAAGCGAGCCAAUAUCGGAGCUUGCGACGAUAACCCCGAAGGGGCGAAGAGCGCAGCGAUGAGUAAUCCCUACCGCAUCCUCAC
rnacentral:sRNA from 1 species